CAGCAGGAAAUCAGCAGAGGCACCCUUUGCCUCGAGGGCUGACGAGCCCCUCCUGAUCAGCCCUCCUGAGAAAUGGAAACCUCUGCUCCAGCUCACUGAGCUAGCCCUUAUUCUCAAACUCUGCUGCGCCCUAAAUGCAGACUUCCUUAGAUGCCAGUCAAAGGCAACCUUUUAUUCAUCAGUUUGACACACCACGGGAUGGGUGUUAAGGAACAGAUACAGAUAGGAUUUCACCACAUUUGUUUAUAUUUAUAUUACGUGUGUGGCAGGGUUCCCCAGAAAUCUAACAAAUUCUAAGUGAGGGAAGAGGUGAUAAGAGGCUGGGGAGCUUUGGCAGGCUGCCGCUGUAAGCCAGCGUUUGCUGUGCAUAUGUCAUGUGUAGAUCCUGUGCAAAGGUCACAGCAAGCUAAACAUUACAAAUCCUAAAAGGUCUUUGCACAAUUAACAUUUGAAAAAUAAUAUGUAUUAUAUAAACUGCUAUGUUUUAAAGAGGCCAGGAAGAGGAGAAGGUAGCCUGCAGCCAGGAAUGUGCUAAUUAAAGUGUACAAUGGAAAUAUUAACCAAGUGACCUUAGGGGUGGGAAGGAAGGCAGGAGGAAGGGGAAAGACAUGACACAAUACCCUUAGCACUGUGUUAGGAUUCAGCACCAUGCGAAACAGGGCAGAUAGACAGGAAAACAGCAGUCCUGCCAUGUUGGCUGCAAAAAAAGCUGUCCUUACUAAGGCAAUGGCUCUGCCUGCACCUAAAAGCUGUGAAUAACAGGAUGACUCACUCUAAGCACCAGACAGUGCACCCUGAAGCUGGGGUCAGCAGAACACACGAGCCUGCAGCCUCGUGAGUCCUUGGAGACCCUGGAGAAGAUACUCACCAAAUGUGGUUUUAAUAGAUACUGUAAGGGUAAUACAGUGACCCUCAACUUAGCCACAGAGGCUGCUCAGGAGAGGCUAUCUCUAGGUGUGAGCUGAGGAAGCACCUGCCAACAGGCUGCUUUGGUCAGGAAAAUCCUCCGGCACAUUGGAUAUACCUACCUGAUCGGAAUGCUCAGAAGGCUUCACAGCAGACAACGAA